rnacentral:misc_RNA from 1 species
GGUAGCUGAAACAGCUACCAAUUUACUUCCACUAUGACAGUUUCCAGUAACAUAUGCUACUGAUUGGCUAAUAUUAGCCAAUCAGAUCUCUGGAGUUCCCCGCAGUGCGUUACAACUAUGACGCGGCAAAGACAUAUUUGGACAUAUCAUUUCUAUGUUGAUAUGCCUAUCUACACUGCAUAUUGGCCUUGCGUGGAUGUCAUCAAGUGAAAUGUUUUGGCCUAAGGUCAGUGAGACGCUAGUCGCUACUCUUCUAUACGCUAUGCCCUUUUUCAAUAUGAAAACGGUGUCGUGUUCUGACUGCAGGCAACUGAGUGUUAAUGGAAACAGACGACGCUGAGCUGGGGCCGGACGCAGCAGGCGACGGACGCUGUAGUGUGCUGGGCAAAAUAGUCCAAGAUGCUGGUAGCGGGUGAAAUACGCAGCUGCUCGUCGUCUCCAAGAGCGCCGCGGACGCCGUGGACUGCGCCAUCAAAGUCGACGGAAAGUCGGUUCCAGCAGCCGACCGUCUCAAACUACUCGGAGCUGUUGUGUUCGGGUAUAGGGGGUGUAGACUUGGACCGCCUCUGCGGCCCCACCUCUGUGUGCCUGGGAGCGCCCCUGCCGGCGCUCAGCUGUCCGUGCGCGCCAAGCGGCGUGAGUGGCGCACGGGACGAAAACUGACGCUCGCCAUACUUGUUUAGUUUUUGGAAGACUCUCUCGGCCCAUUCGCACCGGCAGUAAAUAAAUCGCGUUUCUCUUAAGCUCUCUCUCACUCGAACCGUGAAUUACGAAC